UAUUUUCUCAAUACUCAUUCUCGAAAUUGGUGUGAUCUGUGUGUCAUUCUGAGAGCAGCCAGCUGCCAUGCCAUGCCCUGACGACACCGAGAGUUCUUGUGGUGAGAAACUCCUGCCAACAACCUACAUUUAACCUGCCAGCCUGGAGCCUGGAGCCUGCAAGCCGCCUGGGAAGUGCAUCUUCCACUUCCAAGUGGAUCCUCCAGCCUGGGUCAACAUUCAAAUGACUGCAGCACCAAGUGAUAUCAUGACUGCACCCUCAUGAGAAAGCCUGGACCAAAAGAGACACAGCUCUGAAUUCCUGACCCACAGAUAUAGUGUGAGAUAAUAAAUAUGCAUUGCUUGGAGCCACUAAUUUUUGAGGUGACUUUUUAGUCAGCAGUAAAUAGCGAAUGCGUCCAUCCAAGUCAGCGCUUGUAUUGUUAAUGGCUGCUCGGCCUCCCUUUUUGAAGCUUUAUUAUCUGCAUAAGGGUAAAGAUAGCUAUGGAGGCGUGUACUUACUUCUUGUCUUCUUUGAAAUCUUUGUUUCAUAAAGAUAAGGCAUGCCAUGAUUUGAGCAUUGUCUCUAUUAAUUAAAUCAAGUCUAUCUUCCUUAUUAGUAUUGUUUGAUUGAUUUUAGGAACUAGAUUAUUCUUCAAUCUUACUUUUCCCAAAAAUAUGAGUAUCAUUUAUUUCCAAGUUUUUGCAAGUUAUCUUAGUGAGAAGCUGAGAGAUGCAUUUGGGUCUUCUAUUUCAAUACAAUUUUGAAGCAGAUAUCUCUCCUUGCUUUUAACAAAGGUGCAUAAAAGAUACCAUUAUAUCUUUAAUAUGCUAGGUUACUCUAAGAGAUAGCUACCACAUCUGUAUUUUCUUCAAUUUUGCAAACGAGAUAAAAUAUACAGUCCUUGGAUCAUUGAGGUAGAAAACCAUAUCUAUU
rnacentral:lncRNA from 10 species